AGAGAGGCUGUCCUAGCUAGAAAUCAGGGCAGGGAGUGCUGAGGAAACAGUGGUGCUACCUUAUAUGCAGUCAUGGUGGUUAUAUUCUCCAUGUAAAGCCAGAAGGGCAGAGAGUCUACUCCAAAAUAGCACUUUCAAUUUACACAAGCUGCUCUUGAAGUGAGGAAAGGAUCCAUGUUGAAGCCUCCAGACAAAGGACUAUUGACAGCACUACCCAACUACCCAAAGAGUGAAGAUCCCAAUGGUUGCUAAAUCUGGGCCUCCUACUGAUGAAACUGGAACCACUAUAGCAGAUGAGAUUGAGAGACCUGCCCCUGCAUAGGCUGCUGGUUAGGGCCCUUUUCAGGGAUGUGGCAAACAUGAGUUCAAGUCCUUGCUCUGGAGUGGACAUGGGAGCCUGAGUCUCCCACAUCCCAGGGAAUAAGGCCUCCCUUCUAACCCUCUUCUGCUGCCCUCUGGCCAUGCUGUAUCACACCUGUAAUGGAGAAUACUGGUAGAACAGAACGAAUUGCUGCCUGAGAGACCUCCUGAUUAUCGAGACCGUACCGAGCCCUCCUUGCUUCUUCUGAUGUUGUUGCUGCUUCUGCCUUUGCUGCUGCCUUGGGGACUGUCCUUUGAUCUAAAAUGACCAGAGUUGGUUACUUCACCCAUCUUGAGUUGAAAAUAUUUUGGUUAUCAGAGACUGCUGAACUUACUGGGGAGAUGUGCUGAACACAUCCAUGUGAUGAUGCUGUCAAGAUGUUGCUGGCGAAGCAGCUGCUCUCCCACACUAAAUCUGCAGCAGGAAACCUGGAAUUUGACUCCCACUGCCUCUGUGUUGUAAUAGGAUGAUGUCUCUUCCAUGACCAGUUGCUCUGACUCAGGUUCUGCUGCCAGCAGACUGUCAAUAUGCCACUUUCUGGAGGGAGUUUAUGAACAGAAAUUUAUGGGCCCCACACAUAAUUUAACAUUGUGUUCUGCAUUUAUCUUGUAAAUUAUAAGUCGCACAUUGGCAGGGGUAUUGGCGACGGGAUUGACUUAUCUAUGUUUAGGUAUAUAAAAGCUUAAAAAUAAACAGUGGCACUUAUAAAUGCAAACAAGGACAAGACUCUCCAAUUCAUAAGGUGAAAACCUUCCUCCCUCAUGCCACUGUCUCAAAUCAUCACAGGGAAAAUAGACUGAAUUUGCAAUGCAGUUCUAAGACAUCCAGCCCUCCAGAAUGUUUUCCUCAUAUCCCUGGGACUGAAAGGAAGGCCUCCUCCAUGUCCUGGCCUAUUUUGCUCCAGACCCUACAGCA